rnacentral:rRNA from 1 species
UUCCGUAGGUGAACCUGCGGAAGGAUCAUUACCGAGUGUAGGGUUCCUAGCGAGCCCAACCUCCCACCCGUGUUUACUGUAACCUUAGUUGCUUCGGCGGGCCCGCCUUUAAGGCCGCCGGGGGGCAUCAGCCCCCGGGCCCGCGCCCGCCGGAGACACCACGAACUCUGUCUGAUCUAGUGAAGUCUGAGUUGAUUGUAUCGCAAUCAGUUAAAACUUUCAACAAUGGAUCUCUUGGUUCCGGCAUCGAUGAAGAACGCAGCGAAAUGCGAUAACUAGUGUGAAUUGCAGAAUUCCGUGAAUCAUCGAGUCUUUGAACGCACAUUGCGCCCCCUGGUAUUCCGGGGGGCAUGCCUGUCCGAGCGUCAUUGCUGCCCAUCAAGCACGGCUUGUGUGUUGGGUCGUCGUCCCCUCUUCGGGGGGGACGGGCCCCAAAGGCAGCGGCGGCACCGCGUCCGAUCCUCGAGCGUAUGGGGCUUUGUCACCCGCUCUGUAGGCCCGGCCGGCGCUUGCCGAACGCAAAACAACCAUUCUUUCCAGGUUGACCUCGGAUCAGGUAGGGAUACCCGCUGAACUUAAGCAUAUCAAUAAGCGGAGGAAAAGAAACCAACCGGGAUUGCCUCAGUAACGGCGAGUGAAGCGGCAAGAGCUCAAAUUUGAAAGCUGGCUCCUUCGGGGUCCGCAUUGUAAUUUGCAGAGGAUGCUUCGGGUGCGGCCCCUGUCUAAGUGCCCUGGAACGGGCCGUCAGAGAGGGUGAGAAUCCCGUCUGGGAUGGGGUGUCCGCGCCCGUGUGAAGCUCCUUCGACGAGUCGAGUUGUUUGGGAAUGCAGCUCUAAAUGGGUGGUAAAUUUCAUCUAAAGCUAAAUACUGGCCGGAGACCGAUAGCGCACAAGUAGAGUGAUCGAAAGAUGAAAAGCACUUUGAAAAGAGAGUUAAAAAGCACGUGAAAUUGUUGAAAGGGAAGCGCUUGCGACCAGACUCGCCUCCAGGGUUCAGCCGGCAUUCGUGCCGGUGUACUUCCCUGGGGGCGGGCCAGCGUCGGUUUGGGCGGCCGGUCAAAGGCUCCCGGAAUGUAGUGCCCUUCGGGGCACCUUAUAGCCGGGAGUGCAAUGCGGCCAGCCUGGACCGAGGAACGCGCUUCGGCACGGACGCUGGCAUAAUGGUCGCAAACGACCCGUCUUGAAACACGGACCAAGGAGUCUAACAUCUACGCGAGUGUUCGGGUGUCAAACCCGUACGCGCAGUGAAAGCGAACGGAGGUGGGAGCCCCCUCGCGGGGCGCACCAUCGACCGAUCCUGAUGUCUUCGGAUGGAUUUGAGUAAGAGCGUAAAUGUGGGGACCCGAAAGAUGGUGAACUAUGCCUGAAUAGGGCGAAGCCAGAGGAAA